GACGAACGCUGGCGGCGGGCUUAACACAUGCAAGUCGAACGGAAAGGCCCUGCUUUUGUGGGGGGCUCGAGUGGCGAACGGGUGAGUAACACGGGAGUAACCUGCCCUUGACUUUGGGAUAACUUCAGGAAACGGGGGCUAAUACCGGAUAGGAGCUCCUGCUGCAUGGGGGGGGUUGGAAAGUUUCGGCGGUUGGGGAUGGACUCGCGGCUUAUCAGCUUGUUGGUGGGGUAGUGGCUUACCAAGGCUUUGACGGGUAGCCGGCCUGAGAGGGUGACCGGCCACAUUGGGACUGAGAUACGGCCCAGACUCCUACGGGAGGCAGCAGUGGGGAAUAUUGCACAAUGGGCGGAAGCCUGAUGCAGCAACGCCGCGUGCGGGAUGACGGCCUUCGGGUUGUAAACCGCUUUCGCCUGUGACGAAGCGUGAGUGACGGUAAUGGGUAAAGAAGCACCGGCUAACUACGUG
rnacentral:rRNA from 1 species